CAACAAGCCUAUGAGAUCAAUACUCUUAUUAACCAUACAGAUGAGGGAACUGAGGCACAUAGAAGUUAAAUAUUUGCCUAAAAUCACACAACCAGGAAUUGGAAGAAGCGACAUUCAAGGCCCCAAAGCUUACAAUUAUGACCCAACUCAGGAGAAAUACAGUGUAAAAUAGUAGUAACAUUAAAUAUUUGUGAGUGUGUAGGAAGUGAGCUCUAUAGGUAGAAGUUUCCAUUUGGAUAUCUA